UUCUUCUGAUUCCUUCUUUUUUUUCUUCUCUUCCCUGUUUUGGUUCUAGUUUUCUGUCUUCCGUUUUUUGUUCUUUGAGUGCUUGAUGGUAAACAACAGUUAAUCCAAGAGCAGGAAAGCCGAAGUGCGGAAAUAGAAGAAGAGAAAGGGAACGAGAAAAUACGUACACCAAAAAUAAAGAAGAAAAAGAAAAACCCUCAAAAGGUUGGUCUAUCUCUCAUUCAUUCUCGUUUCUGGA
rnacentral:ribozyme from 1 species